rnacentral:rRNA from 1 species
GGGCCCGCACAAGCGGUGGAGUAUGUGGUUUAAUUCGAUGCAACGCGAAGAACCUUACCAGGGUUUGGCAUCCUGCGAAUCUCUUGGAAACGAGAGAGUGCCUUCAGGAACGCAGUGACAGGUGGUGCAUGGCUGUCGUCAGCUCGUGUCGUGAGAUGUUGGGUUAAGUCCCGCAACGAGCGCAACCCACGUCUUUAGUUGCCAGCAUUUAGUUGGGCACUCUAGAGAGACUGCCGGUGAUAAACCGGGGAAGGUGUGGAUGACGUCAAGUCAUCAUGCCCCUUAAUCCUGGGCUACACACGUACUACAAUGCUACGGACAAAGGGCUGCAAGUUCGCGAGGACAAGCAAAUCCCAUAAACCGUGGCUCAGUUCAGAUCGUAGGCUGCAACUCGCCUACGUGAAGGCGGAAUCGCUAGUAAUCGCAGGU